AACGAACGCUGGCGGCAUGCCUAACACAUGCAAGUCGAACGAGACCUUCGGGUCUAGUGGCGCACGGGUGCGUAACGCGUGGGAACCUGCCUUUAGGUUCGGAAUAACUCAGAGAAAUUUGAGCUAAUACCGGAUGAUGUCUUCGGACCAAAGAUUUAUCGCCUUUAGAUGGGCCCGCGUUGGAUUAGCUAGUUGGUGGGGUAAAGGCCUACCAAGGCGACGAUCCAUAGCUGGUCUGAGAGGAUGAUCAGCCACACUGGGACUGAGACACGGCCCAGACUCCUACGGGAGGCAGCAGUGGGGAAUAUUGGACAAUGGGCGAAAGCCUGAUCAAGCAAUGCCGCGUGAGUGAUGAAGGCCUUAGGGUUGUAAAGCUCUUUUACCCGAGAUGAUAAUGACAGUAUCGGGAGAAUAAGCUCCGGCUAACUCCGUG
rnacentral:rRNA from 1 species